rnacentral:rRNA from 1 species
GACAGAGGGUGCAAACGUUUGUUCGGAAUUACUGGGCGUAAAGCGCGUGUAGGCUGUCUCGCAAGUCGGGUGUGAAAGCCCUGGGCUCAACCUAGGAAGUGCACUCGAAACUGCGAGACUUGAGUCCUGGAGAGGAAGGCGGAAUUCUCGGUGUAGAGGUGAAAUUCGUAGAUAUCGAGAGGAACACCGGUGGCGAAGGCGGCCUUCUGGACAGUGACUGACGCUGAGACGCGAAAGCGUGGGGAGCAAACAGG